CAAUUUCACCCCCAAAUCUUGCCGUUCCCUACACCAGACCGCACCUACUGCCACCACAAGCACCGCACCACCACCGCUGCCCCCAACCAUCCAUCGCCGCCGACCACUGCCGCCGUCGCCUCUCACCCACCGCACCCUUGCCGCCUCUCCCAACUACCCCAGCACUGCAGACCGUCCUCCGCUCCGUCCACUGCCGACGUCGCCCCAAUCACCCCACAGCAGCGCCGCCGAGCACCCAACGGACAUGGAGCACCACCAGCACUGACCGGCCCCGUCGCUAAGCCACUCCACUGCCGACCACCCUCCUCCGCCGAACGCCUUCCAUCGCUACAUCGCGAGAUUCCUCUCUCAAGUAGGCGUCCUCCCCGCAAGCUUCACCCAAGCAGCGAGCCGGUCGCCACCACUCUUUCUGGCAUCCCACCUCGCAGCAAUCUGAGAUGCUACUGUUGCUACUGAUUGUUGCCUGCUUUGGGCCUUUUUAGACCUCCCAAGAAUUUAUGCCCUUAUCUGAUUAUAUAAUGGUGAGAUACAAAGAUGGAACAGGGUGCAGCACAAGGAAAGUGGAUGAGUAUGGAUGCACCCCUUACCUCAUGAAAGUGGACCUCAAGAUGUAUUCUAGCCACUAAAACCUUCACUGGAAACGGAGCUUUACUAUUAAUUGUUGAACGAGGCCACGAGCAAUGCAGCCUCUACCAUUACAUGUUCGCCUGCGAUUUUCAAACUGAUGAAUUUGGAGUAGAGACACUAUUGAAGUACACAUACCAAUCACCAGGUUGGCAUCACACUGGAAGAUCUUCUGGUCAACACGUAGUUGUACAAGUCAACUAGGAUGUCUACAUGGUGAUUCUUCUGUUCAGUGACAACACGAUCAAGUGGGGUGAGGCUUGUCUGUGGUCUUUCAAGCAAUACAAGUUUGAUGACUCUUCUGCUAGAGACACGUGGCCCUGUUUGAAUAAUGCAGCUUCACAAGAUGGUGGCGAGUCUGGUAUUCAGAACAUCUCAUGAAUAUGGCAAUGCCAUUCAAUGAACGGCUGAGCAGAAAUAUACAAAAGUGUGAACCUGCCAUUGUUUCCUAGACAUAGCUGUAGCCGUAAGUCAAGCUCAUACCGUUAGUGUAGCUUAGUUUGAAGACAUAACAUCUUAUUAUCUGAUGUAAAUUAUAUUUACCAAUGUGGCUGGUUGUUACUGAACACAUCUAUGGAUGUUGAGAUCUUGAAUUUUUUGUCUUAAUGUGUUUGAGGUAUGCAAUUGAACCUUGAGUGAAAUGAUGUAUGAUGCAUGGGCAUAUUGUGAUUGGAUUCUAAA